UCCAGACUCCUACGGGAGGCAGCAGUGGGGGAUAUUGCACAAUGGGGGGAACCCUGAUGCAGCGACGCCGCGUAGGUGAAGGAGUAUUUCGGUAUGUAAAGCCCUAUCGGCAGGGAAGAAGCAAGACGGUACCUGACUAAGAAGCCCCGGCUAACUACGUGCCAGCAGCCGCGGUAAUACGUAGGGGGCGAGCGUUAUCCGGAUUCACUGGGUGUAAAGGGAGCGUAGACGGCCAAGCAAGCCAGGGGUGAAAGCCCGGGGCCCAACCCCGGGACUGCCCUUGGAACUGCUUGGCUGGAGUGCGGGAGGGGCAGGCGGAAUUCCUGGUGUAGCGGUGAAAUGCGUAGAUAUUAGGAGGAACACCAGUGGCGAAGGCGGCCUGCUGGACGAUGACUGACGCUGAGGCUCGAAAGCGUGGGGAGCAAACAGGAUUAGAUACCCCAGUA
rnacentral:rRNA from 1 species